rnacentral:rRNA from 1 species
GGGGAAUAUUGCGCAAUGGGGGAAACCCUGACGCAGCAACGCCGCGUGCGGGAUGACGGCCUUCGGGUUGUAAACCGCUUUCAGCAGGGAAGCACAUCGACGGUACCUGCAGAAGAAGCCCCGGCUAACUACGUGCCAGCAGCCGCGGUAAUACGUAGGGGGCGAGCGUUAUCCGGAUUCAUUGGGCGUAAAGCGCGCGUAGGCGGGUGCCUAAGCGGGACCUCUAACCUCGGGGCUCAACCCCGAGCCGGGUCCCGAACUGGGCGCCUCGAGUGCGGUAGGGGAGAUCGGAAUUCCCGGUGUAGCGGUGGAAUGCGCAGAUAUCGGGAAGAACACCGAUGGCGAAGGCAGAUCUCUGGGCCGACACUGACGCUGAGGCGCGAAAGCUAGGGGAGCGAACAGG